rnacentral:rRNA from 1 species
GAGUUUGAUCCUGGCUCAGAUUGAACGCUGGCGGCAUGCCUUACACAUGCAAGUCGAACGGCAGCACGGGGGCAACCCUGGUGGCGAGUGGCGAACGGGUGAGUAAUACAUCGGAACGUGUCCUGUAGUGGGGGAUAGCCCGGCGAAAGCCGGAUUAAUACCGCAUACGAUCUGUGGAUGAAAGCGGGGGAUCCUUCGGGACCUCGCGCUACAGGGGCGGCCGAUGGCAGAUUAGCUAGUUGGUGGGGUAAAGGCCUACCAAGGCGACGAUCUGUAGCUGGUCUGAGAGGACGACCAGCCACACUGGGACUGAGACACGGCCCAGACUCCUACGGGAGGCAGCAGUGGGGAAUUUUGGACAAUGGGCGAAAGCCUGAUCCAGCAAUGCCGCGUGUGUGAAGAAGGCCUUCGGGUUGUAAAGCACUUUUGUCCGGAAAGAAAACCUCGUGGUUAAUACCCGUGGGGGAUGACGGUACCGGAAGAAUAAGCACCGGCUAACUACGUGCCAGCAGCCGCGGUAAUACG